CCCUAGAAAAACCCUACUCUUCUGUUGAAAUAAAAAUCCUACACUGAAUUUCUACUUGUAAUUAUGUUAUUGGAGAGUUCAUUAGUGUGGCUUAUGGGCCUUAUAAUGUUAUCAUUAGCUCAUAGGCUAAGUAGAAUAAAGGGCUGAGAUUGAAUCAAAAUUGUAAGCCUCUCUCUCUUCUCUAACUGUCAUCUUGUCUUGUACUGUGAGCUCAUAUGCUCAGUAUGAAUGUAAUGGAAAUCUAGCAGAGUCAUAUUCUCUGCAUGUUCUUUCUCAUGCUUCCAUCUCACUCUUUUGCUCAUAUACAAUCCAAAACCAUUGCUGGUAAUUUAAUCUUGUUUUGGUGUAUGAGAAGUUGAAUUCUAGUAUGGCCGAGCCGGUUUCGAUUUGAAAUCCGGGCAUCAAGCUGAAUGUGAAAUUGUGAGCUGAUUUUGAAGCAAUUGUUUGGUUGCUUCGAGCUUUGAUUCGACGAGAUUCAAAUCUAGCAUGGCUGGAUCUGGAGGGAGUGAGCUACGAGCUACCAAUUUUUAAUGGAGAUAACUUUGAUUUCUGUAAGAUCAAGAUGAAAACUGUUAUACCCACCCCCACAUUUUUAUUUAUAUUUCUAUAUUCCUCCCUGAAACAUAUCUAAGUCUAUCAAUUUAGUCCCUUAUCUCAUUUAAUCCUAAUUGUCGAUCUAGAUACCUUAUUCCUCCUAAACUGCCAAGUGGCAGCUUCCUAGCUUUCUUCUCUUCAGGAGCUCUGCCUCUCCAUUUUCUGAAAUAUCUCUCUCUCACAAGAACUCUCAUCUCUCCCUUUCUCUCUCUGCACCGUGACCAACCAAACAAACCUGCAUGUGGCUCCUGUUGUAGACCAUCAUCGUCAUCAUCUCUCUCUCUCUCUCUCUCUCUCUCUCUCUUCGUCGCAGCGAGAUCGGGAAAUCCAGAGAAAAGACCUUCGACGGUUUUCUCCAUUUAUUUUUCCGGCUAGGUUUUGAGGAUGGGAACGGCGCGGGGGAGGCUCACCCACACUUUUCGGCGAACCCGUGACCUUCAAGGGUUCUUCCGAACACUCACGGCCGUUCACGGUGAAGCAAGGGUGAAGUUGCUAGUGGGGAUUUCCUUAAUCCUUUUCCGCACAACUCUGCUGCUACGGAGUAUCUGUCUUAGAAAUGAGGACUACGACACAACGUACGAGGCAUUCGCCUACCAGUAGCAGUCUAUCACUCAUUUGGGUGAUAUCUUGUAUCGACUAGCACGUGCCUAUCCGGGUAUUCAGAGAAUAUGGGGGUCGGGACGUGUAAAAAACCAUCUUCAAGUCUCAUGAAUUCUAGAAUUUGGUUGAAAAGGGUUUUGAAAUUGAAGGAAGGAAAUCUCUCGGCUGAGGAGAAGAAGCUGAUGCGAGAGAAUACUAUCAAAGAUGCAAGAGCAGUUGGUAUCAUUCAAGGAGCCGUUUCAGAUAAAGUUUUCCAGAAUUGCCAAUCAGAAAACUACCAAGUCAGUCAAGGACAUCUUGAAGCAAGAAUUCAUUGGAGACGUGAAUUUGAAUACACACGUACGGCAUAACUUAUGUGAUUGAAAACACCAAAGAUUUGGAGACCAAUGACGCACGGGAUGUUGUGGCUAUACUAAAAGGAUAUGAACAAGGGUUAGUAGGCAUAGUGAGAAUAACACAAAAAAGGCAUUUUCUAUCAUGGACAUCACAUGUAAGCAAACUGGCAGGUUUAGUGGUCAAGCUAGUAAUGCAAAGUUUCUGAAGAAUUCUAAAACCAAGGGGACGCAAUGGCCUAACAAGACCAAUGCUCCUGUGAAGCAAUGGCAAGGUAACAAUGUUGCUAAGAUGCCUUGUAAAAGUUGUGAUAAGCUAUACUAUGGAAAGUGCUGGAACAAGGGAAAAGCCCAAAUGUCACAAGUGCAGUAAAUUUGGCCAUAUUGCUAAGACUGCAAUCUCAACAAGUCUGUGCAACAAGUGAAUUUUUCUAAUCAGGCAGAAGAGAUAGGAAACCUGUUUUAUGCAAGUCAUGCUACUGUUGCAAAGAAUAAGAGUGAUGUAUGGUACAUAUAUUGUGGGUGCAACAAUUGUUUGACCUCUAAAGAGGAUUUGCUAGUGGAUAUAAACAGAAAUAUUAAAGCUAA